ensembl:lncRNA cytadherence high molecular weight protein 1-like
AUGUAUGUGCAUGUAGUCCCAGAAGUUAUUGAGAGAGGUAGUGCUCAGGAGCUUGAAAAGCAAAUAAUGUUAAAAGACGUUCCCAAACCAGACGUUGUCAUUGCUGCAGUUACAGAUGUGAUUGAGAGUGAAGUUGUGACACAACUUGAUCCCUCUUUACAGAUAGCAGAGGAUCAGAAAACAGAGAGUAUCCCACAAUAUGUUGGGGUUAAGCAGGAAGACUGUAUACCUGAAGUCGUAGAUGAUUUACAAACUAUAACAGCAGUUUUUGUAUCCCCUGUAAAUGAGGAAGCAAGUAAUGUUCAGGACCUAGAGAAGACUGUAUUUACUGAAGAACCCCCAGCACUGUGUGUAGACAAGGUGUUAGUUACAAAUGAACCCAAACAUGAAGAGCAGCUCAGUGCAGUGCAAGUCAGUGUUGAGAGAGAAAAAGAAAGUGAAAUUCCAGGCGCUGAGACAAAAACUGCUGCAGUUGAGCACGCUGUAGUGGCACAAGUAAUCAUAUGUAAUCUCAAAGAUGUCUCAGUUGCAAUACCCAAUGUUUUGGUAGAGAAAACAUCAGCCAUUACUGAACCCUUGAUAGGUAAAGUGACAAGUCAGCUAGAGUUCAAGAAGGAAGUGGAGACUGCCACAUCCUUAGUGAGAGAUGGUGCUGAGACAGCAGAGGAAGGCAGCGUGGUGUUGAUGAUGCAUGUGCCAUCUGUAGAGUUUGAGGACAAUCACAGAAUUCAAGUGCAAGUGGUCGACGUCCAUAUUAAAUCAGCCCAGACAAUUUGGGAUACAGUGCUAGAGGUGGCGGUAACAGAAGUCAGAGAAGUCAUAGAUGUUUGUCAUGAAACGGUUAAAAAAGUAGACAAUUUCUCUGCAACUCCAGAGAUUGAAGAGGAUUUAACGACUGAGGAAUCCAAGGUGACCAUUCAAGAAGUUAUUCAACACGUGAAGGAACACGUACCACAGACAGUACCUGAACCAGUGGUGGUCAACUUGGAACAAGAAGGUGUAAAACAGCCAGAUGCUGUGACAGAAGUGAUCGAGAUGGUUCAAAGUGGAUCAGAUGAAGUAGAGGAUCCAAAAGCGACGGUGGAUAGAAGUGAAAACUUCAGGGAAAGACGAGAAGAAGUCUCCAAUGAUGUCUGUGCAACUGAUCAGCAAGUGUCCGAGGAUCUCAUGCAAGAUGUUUCAGGAUGUUUAGAUCCCUACAUCUAUAAUCAAAAAGAUGAUUUGAAGGAAAGUAAAGCUGAACUGGAACAAUCAGAAGCAGAUGUCGCAGGAGAAGAGGUCAAAUCAAAUCAAAUUAUUCAUGAAAGAACACAAAAUCCGAUUGUAACACCUAGUAACGCUGGAUCAGUCGCCCACCAGAACUCUGGGAUUAUCCCGUCAACAUGUAACGUAGAGUCCCCUUCAAGUGUUUCCAUUCAAGUCAAACUCAACAUCCAGUUAAGGCAAGCAAGUGCAGCAGCUCUGCCACCACCUGCAACAGACAUGUCGGAGAUCAAAGUUCAGACAGUCGGGAAAGUUGAACCUGUAAAUCCGAUACAGAGAGCCGACAGCCAGAAACAGAUGGAGCUAACGGAGGUCGCUGAUCACGCAACAGAAACCCCAGAACCAGAGCUAAACUCAGAUUCUGACAGAGCAGGCAUUCAACCUGUACGGCCGGACAUCAGCAUCCAAGCAAUGGAAACAGUAGAACAAAUCAAAUCAACAGAGAGAGCAGCCUCCAGUGUCCAGGCAGCAGAGUCAAUACAACCAGUGAGGCAAGCAGAAAGAAGAGCAGCGAGUCAGACACUGAUCUGUAAACCUUGUGAGCCGGCACAGGAGCCAGUUCAACUGAAGGAGGAACAUGAGCAGGACGUGUGGAUGGAUGCGAAGGAAGACCUUUACACUCGAGAGGAACCCAAGGUGUCCCCUCAUGAGGUGGAGGAACAUCUUGAGCCUCGGGCAGAAAGAGAGCAAGAGGAGAAGGUCGGACUUGAACACGAGUUUGAAAUGACUCCUAAUUCAAACACGGAGGAGGAACGUAAACAGGAAAUGUACAAAUCCACAGAAACAUGUGAGCUGGAUAGUGACGGGGAGGACUUUGCUGUGGCGCUCGAGCAUCCUGAAUCUGAAAGUGCGAGCGUCAGUGACCGGUUGGACGGCUGAGAAGGAAGUCCGAAGGAAGCGAGCAGAACACGACAGGAAACAGCUAUACAAAUAUAAGUGUUCGAUUAUUUUAUUAUUAUUAUAAAGUUUGUGAUUAAUGAGAGAAGCAUGAACUGGAGAAGUGCUGGGGGGGGGGGGCUAAUGCUACUGCAGGUUUCAUUACUAAUCUUUCAAUUCUAAAUCCUGUUUUUGCAAAGAUUCAUCAGAUGAAUGUAAACGUCUCAGAUUGUGAGUUUUAAAAACACGACGUCAUCAUGUGACCCUCUCCGUCACAUGAUGACGUCACAUGACGUUCUUUCCUUGUCUACGUUGGUAUCUGGAGAUUUCACAGCCUUUACUUUGUUCAUUAAGUGUUUGUCACGUUAAUACUCGAGUGCUGCAUCAGGUUACUCGUGCUCGUGUUUAUUCUCUUGUACAUAAAGAAAGUUGCUUAGAGAAGCAGAAACUUUCUCAUUUUUAAUCUACAAGAAUUUCUACUGUGUGAAGUUUUUAGAUUAGAGCCUGAAGAGAGCAUGUUUAAAAUAAUCAUUUACACAAAUACUUAUUUUCAGGUUAAAUUAAUCUUCACAUUUAUUAUUAAUUACAUUAUAAUCAGCAAAGCCUUAAAUACUGAGGCAGCCCCCCCCCCCAGCAGCUGUUUGUCCUUUUCUCCAACAUGUUCUGAUUUAUCUGUGAUGUUAACGACAUGAAGGAAUGUUAACGAAUUAACGAUGUUAACGAAUCAAAUAUUUUAUUUGAAUAAAUUCAUAUCUGUAUAUUUCAAAUAUUUCUUGUGUUGAAAAUUUUUUCUUGAAUAUUGAAACU